rnacentral:rRNA from 1 species
UACGAAGGGAGCGAGCGUUGUUCGGAAUCACUGGGCUUAAAGGGCUCGUAGGCGGCCAACUAAGUCGGACGUGAAAUCCCCAGGCUCAACCUGGGAACUGCAUCCGAUACUGGAUGGCUUGAAUUCGGGAGAGGGAUGCAGAAUUCCAGGUGUAGCGGUGAAAUGCGUAGAUAUCUGGAGGAAUACCGGUGGCGAAGGCGGCAUCCUGGACCGACAUUGACGCUGAGGAGCGAAAGCCAGGGGAGCAAACGGG